rnacentral:rRNA from 1 species
GAUGAACGCUGGCGGCGUGCCUAAUACAUGCAAGUCGAGCGAACGGACGAGAAGCUUGCUUCUCUGAUGUUAGCGGCGGACGGGUGAGUAACACGUGGAUAACCUACCUAUAAGACUGGGAUAACUUCGGGAAACCGUAGCUAAUACCGGAUAAUAUUUUGAACCGCAUGGUUCAAAAGUGAAAGACGGUCUUGCUGUCACUUAUAGAUGGAUCCGCGCUGCAUUAGCUAGUUGGUAAGGUAACGGCUUACCAAGGCAACGAUGCAUAGCCGACCUGAGAGGGUGAUCGGCCACACUGGAACUGAGACACGGUCCAGACUCCUACGGGAGGCAGCAGUAGGGAAUCUUCCGCAAUGGGCGAAAGCCUGACGGAGCAACGCCGCGUGAGUGAUGAAGGUCUUCGGAUCGUAAAACUCUGUUAUUAGGGAAGAACAUAUGUGUAAGUAACUGUGCACAUCUUGACGGUACCUAGUCAGAAAGCCACGGCUAACUACGU